rnacentral:rRNA from 1 species
CACGUAGGGCGCAAGCGUUGUCCGGAAUUACUGGGCGUAAAGCGCGCGCAGGCGGCAGUGCAAGUAAGGUGUGAAAUCUCCCUGCUCAACGGGGAGGGUGCAUUUUAGACUGCACAGCUAGAGGUCGGUAGAGGGGGGUGGAAUUGCUGGUGUAGCGGUGAAAUGCGUAGAGAUCAGCAGGAACACCCGUGGCGAAGGCGGCCCCCUGGGCCGUACCUGACGCUGAGGCGCGAAGGCUAGGGGAGCGAACGGG